ACACCAACUGCUUUCGGUGCAACGAUUUAGAUUGAUUUGUGUUAAAGGUUAAACUAUCAAUGGCCAACAGAUGUGAGAUUCCGAAUUUUUAAUAGGCGAGGUAAAAUUUUGAAGUAAGCUGUGACAGAAAUAAAGAAACAGCAUCAAAGGAGAAUUUGCCAUGGCUGAGAGUUAGGAGAACCUCGAAGGAAAAAAUUAGGUCUGUCAGCAAACAUUUACCAGCCUGCUCUAAAGAAAAUAAUAAUGGCAGACCCUCAGCUUACUCAAGAAAUGAAGAGGCAUGCUGUUAUUAUGGUUAUAAAGGCUGAGCAUAGGGAUUUAGAAAUAUCUCGAUUUUUAAAAGUUGCCAGAUCUUUCGUCUACAAAGUUUGUAAGGAGUUAUAGACUGAAGAGGGAAACAUAUCACCAGUAUCAAAAUAAAAAGCAUUCUAAACGUCCGGAAAUCAUCAGAACACCUGAAUUUAUCCUGCAAGUUCAACAGACCAUUGAUUACAAUCUCAGAAAGUUCAUGAAGUCAAUUGCAAAAGAAGGAACAGUCAGGAGUGUUGUCCACAAAGACAUCAGAUAUAAGUCUUAUGUGAUGAGGAAAGGUUAAUUUGUUAGAAAAAGCAAAAGAAAAUUACUACAUCAGAUAUAAAAGGCUCUUAAAUAAACUGAAAAAUCCGGUAGAGUUGAUUUUUCUCGUUUGAGAAAAAUUUCGACUAAGAUCAAAAAGUUAACAAAAGAAAUGACAGAUGGUUAUGUGCAGACUCUUCUGAAGUUCCAAGUGUUAUGCAUGCAACUGUCAUAGUUUUAAGGGUUCUCAGCAAUGAAGGACAUGUGAUGCCUCCUUACUUCUUUCCACAAGGCCUUAGAGUUAACUCUGCUGCCUAAUUGUUAAGCCCUGGAUAGACAAUGUAUGCAAUGGAAGGCCGUAUGUGUUUCAGUAAGACUGCACUAUCACACAUGGCUCUUGUUACACAGGAAUGGAUGGUUGAAAAUUUUCAUGAUCACAUAACCCCUAAAAUUUGGCCUCCUAAUUCUCCAGAUCUCAAUCCAUUGGACUAUUAUAUCUUGACUUAAAAACAAGUAUUAUUAUAUACAAAUAUUAUUACAUACACCAAAAGAAACCCAAGAUCAACAAUAGAAGGGAGUUACAGGAAGCUAGCUGGUUGUUGUAGCAACAUCCUUCUGUGCGUGUCCACUCCACACACGCACAACAGCAACGUUCGUCAAUUUCUUGAAAAUGGGGUCAUAACCCCGAAAUAUUGAAUACAAGCAAAAUAGAUCCCUGUUGCUUUUUGGAAAUAAGAAUGACCCCUAGCGAGAAGAUCACAACCAAAUUGAAAUUUGAUUAUACACUUCGUGGGCAAGUUCUCGAGUUUUAAUACUUUAUCCGCAAUAAUUUAAAGAUAUCAUCAGAAUAAGGUAAUUAAAAUUCAUUAAAAUGACAGAUUUACCGGACUUUCAAAGUGGUCAAAUUGUUGGAGCUCUUAUGGCAGGCGCUAGCGUAACGAAAACAGCCGAAAUGCUUGUUGUAUCAAGAAGUACUGUCCCGAAAGUAAUGACAGCCUUUGAGAAAGAGGGAAAAACCUCCUCGUCCAAACGAAAUUCCGGAAGAAAACCAAAACUUUUAGAUAGGGACCGUCAGACUCUUACGCAAAUUAUUACAAAGGAUCACAAAAGUACAGAGCUUAAUGACCACCUCGAGAACCCAUUUUCCACGCUGAGAGCUGCAAAAAGCCGGAUUUCACGAGAGGGCUGCAAUCAGAAAGACACUAAUUUCAAAAGCAAACGUUGUAAAGCGUUUAGAAUGGAGUAAAAAGCUAUAAAACUGGUACCUAGAGUAGUGGAAGAAUGUUAUUUUCUCGGACGAGUCAUCCUUUACCUUAUUUCCGACCACUGGCCGAGUAUACGUAUGGAGACAGCCAAAAGAAGCAUUUGACCAAGAUUGCCUUCUUCCAACUGUUAAACAUGGAGGAGGAUCUAUGAUGAUCGGGUGGGGGUGGGGGGCUAUAUCUUGGAAAUUCGCCGGCCCAAUGGUUUCCCUUUGUGGCAGAAUUAAUAGUCAAAACUAUUUAAGCAUUUUAUCUGACCAAAUUCAUCCUAUGGUUGCGGAACUGUUUCCGAGAGAAACGCAAUCUUUCAGGAUGAUAAUGCACUAAUUCACACCGCUAAAGUUGUUACUGAAUGGCAUGAGGAACAUUCUAGAGAAGUUGAACAUCUUAUCUGGCCAGCACAGUCCUCAGAUCUCAAUAUUAUUGAACAUUUAUGGUGCAUUUUGGUAAGGUGUCCAUAUCCUCCACCAUCAUCACUACAAGAGUUGGAGACUGUUUUAGCUGAAGAAUGGACAAGAAUUCCUUUGUAAACCAUUCAAACUUUGUACGAAUUCAUACCUCGUAGAAUUCAAGCUGUAAUUACUGCCAAAGGCAGACCUACUCCAUAUUAAAAUAAAUUUGUUUGAAAUUAUAA